AUGGUGUCUUCCACUGAGGGCGAGUCCAUCGCCGUGCUUGUGGCUCCCGUGCUGCAGAUCAUGCCCGAGCUUAGGGAGUUAUGCAUGAGUCUAUCAGUGGAGCAUACGAAGGUGGACAUGUCGGCGGCCUCAAUUGAAGGACAAGUUUCGCCUCUGUCAAGUGAGCUGCUGGAGGUCCCUUUGGUUGAUGAUGCUAAAGGGAAGGCAGCUGCAAUUUCAUGA
rnacentral:rRNA from 1 species